UCCAUAGUGUAGUGGUUAGCAUGUCUGCUUUACACACAGAAGGUCCUGGGUUCGUGCCCCAGUGGA
rnacentral:tRNA from 1 species